UAUGGCCAUAUCAUGUUGAAACAUUGGUUCCUGUACAAUCAUCAAUGUUAAGCAAUGUUGAGCCUGGUCAGUACCUAGAUGGGUGACUUCUUGGGUAUACCAGGUGCUGUAAG